rnacentral:lncRNA from 1 species
GGGUCUUUAGUCCCGGGUGAAUGAUCCGGGACUAAAGAAUCCCCCCUUUCGUCUCGAAAAUUUAAUCCUAGAUGGGUUUUCGGUAUAUUUGACCCCUACCAACCGGGACUAAUGCCGCGUUUUCCAAUAGUGUGUGGCGCGCAGUAGCGGCACCGGCCAUCCUGUGACCCUCCCAGCCACAGCCAGCAGCAGUGUUUGCUUGCGCUCCAGCGGCAGUGCCAACUGUCAAGGCUCGGCGGUGGCUUCGCCCACCCGCGCCCCUCCGGUGGCGGCGGAGGCUGCGGUUGGUCGGCAUGUUCAAGCGGCGGUUAGUGGUUUGUCGCCUGAAGCCACAACUGAAAUGCCUCAGUCUAGAAACUAUAUUUCUGUUUUAGUCCUCAACUUUAACAGAUUAUGUAUGGCAGAGUGUCUACUCUUUUAGAGUAUUUACUUCCAUACAUUAUAUUUCAGACCAGAAUAUGUAUGUUGUUGUUUAACAUACAUAACUGUGGUUAUUUUGAUGAGAACCCUGCAGGAUCUCACAUAAUUAUGCUACUUCCCAAUCUUUAUUUUAGUACUCAACUUCAACAAUAGAUUAUGUACGGUUGUGUCUAAUUUUGAAG